GGCUGAUCUCAAACUCCUGGGUCAAGCAAUCCUCCUGCCUCAGCCUCCCAAAGUGCUGGGAUUAAGGGUGGUGAUUCCUCAAGUAAGUUCUCCAGAAAGAAAAGAGAAAGAAGGAAAUGAAUGGGUGAACUAACCAAGAAACAAAUGCAGCGAAUCACAUAUUGAAGAGUUAUGACAUGAGGAACCAAGGGCAAGGCUUUGUGACCAAG
rnacentral:lncRNA from 13 species